rnacentral:rRNA from 1 species
AAACGAUCUUAACCUAUUCUCUACUUUAAACGCUUUAAGAACCUUAACUUUCUUGAUAUGAAGUUCAAGGUUAUGAUAUAAUGUGCCCAGUGGGCCACUUUUGGUAAGCAGAACUGGCGCUGUGGGAUGAACCAAACGUAUUGUUACGGUGCCCAAAUGUUCAACUCAUGCAGAUACCAUGAUAGGCGUUGGUUGCUUAAAACAGCAGGACGGUGAUCAUGGAAGUCGAAUUCCGCUAAGGAGUGUGUAACAACUCACCUGCCGAAGCAACUAGCCCUUAAAAUGGAUGGCGCUUAAGUUGUAUACCUAUACAUUACCGCUAAAGUAGAUGAUUUAUAUUACUUGUGAUAUAAAUUUUGAAACUUUAGUGAGUAGGAAGGUACAAUGGUAUGCGUAGAAGUGUUUGGCGUAAGCCUGCAUGGAGCUGCCAUUGGUACAGAUCUUGGUGGUAGUAGCAAAUAAUCGAAUGAGACCUUGGAGGACUGAAGUGGAGAAGGGUUUCGUGUGAACAGUGGUUGAUCACGAGUUAGUCGGUCCUAAGUUGUUCAAGGCGAAAGCCGAAAAUUUUCAAGUAAAACAAAAAUGCCUAACUAUAUAAACAAAGCGAAUAUAAUACACUUGAAUAAUUUUGAACGAAAGGGAAUACGGUUCCAAUUCCGUAACCUGUUGAGUAUCCGUUUGUUAUUAAAUAUGGGCCUCGUGCUCAUCCUGGCAACAGGAAACGACCCAUAAAGAAGCCGUCGAGAGAUAUCGGAAGAGUUUUCUUUUCUGUUUUAUAGCCGUACUACCAUGGAAGUCUUUCGCAGAGAGAUAUGGUAGAUGGGCUAGAAGAGCAUGACAUAUACUGUUGUGUCGAUAUUUUCUCCUCGGACCUUGAAAAUUUAUGGUGGGGACACGCAAACUUCUCAACAGGCCGUACCAAUAUCCGCAGCUGGUCUCCAAGGUGAAGAGUCUCUAGUCGAUAGAAUAAUGUAGGUAAGGGAAGUCGGCAAAUUAGAUCCGUAACUUCGGGAUAAGGAUUGGCUCUGAAGAUUGAGAUAGUCGGGCUUGAUUGGGAAACAAUAACAUGGUUUAUGUGCUCGUUCUGGGUAAAUAGAGUUUCUAGCAUUUAUGUUAGUUACUUGUUCCCCGGAUAGUUUAGUUACGUAGCCAAUUGUGGAACUUUCUUGCUAAAAUUUUUAAGAAUACUAUUUGGGUUAAACCAAUUAGUUCUUAUCAAUUAUAACGAUUAUCAAUUAACAAUCAAUUCAGAACUGGCACGGACUUGGGGAAUCCGACUGUCUAAUUAAAACAAAGCAUUGUGAUGGCCCUAGCGGGUGUUGACACAAUGUGAUUUCUGCCCAGUGCUCUGAAUGUCAAAGUGAAGAAAUUCAAGUAAGCGCGGGUCAACGGCGGGAGUAACUAUGACUCUCUUAAGGUAGCCAAAUGCCUCGUCAUCUAAUUAGUGACGCGCAUGAAUGGAUUAACGACGGACGUGUUUUCGUUGCGCUCGUGUACAGAUUGCGAAGAACUUGGUUUUCCGUGUUUGGAAAGUAAUAAAAUCGGUGAAUUAGUGCUCCGCGAAAGUCGUGUGCUAAUUUUCGUGUGUAUAAACAGCGUUUGGAGUAUACAUUAUUGUUGGGAUUUCACUAGCACGUGCUGAGCGACUACGAGUAGUUU